GCCCACCACGUACUGUUUCCAAGCGUAGGCCCCGUACAAUUCCCACACGGAGAUACUAGGCAUGACCUAGCGCACCGGUGGCAUGUUGAUCGCUACGGAAGGCCCCAUGUAGUAGCGUUCAACACCCAUGUCGCGUUUUCCCCGUCUUCUACGCCCACCGCGCACGCCAAACCCUCCCCAAUCGCCGCCGCCGCCGCCUUCGCCGCCGCCGCCUCUACAGCAGCAGCAACGGAGGAAGGGCGCGCAAGUAGGCUUCUUGUCACACUCCGCUUAUCAGAAGGUUCUAAUAUUUCACGAAAAAGCAAAGUUCUUAUCAAAGAACAUGUACAAGGAGGCAGCCGAUGUGUUGCUGAUGGCCGAGGACCGGCCCUGCACAGCCAUACACAUGGAUGUACGAACUACGAAACUAAAGUCGAGAAGGCUGGCGCUGCGGCCUGCUUUGGGCAAUAUAGAAAUCAACUGACAGCUCCCAGUUGCAAGACCAAAUGGCCGGCGCCUCCAACUACUCAAAGCUCUGAAGAUCAAUCAUAGAGAAGCUUGGGCUCGCGCACAUGGACAGCUUCGAAUGACAGUUAGAUGAAAUUGUCACUGAGUGGUGGCAAAAGAGAACCGACGACCGCAACCCUCACCUCCAUACAAUGAUUUUCCUCAUUAUGCUUGUUUUUUGGACCAUUUGAAAUGAGAGAAACGUCCGCGUAUUCCGUUGGAAAAGCGCACCCCCGUCGGUCCUCCUAACCAACAUUUUAGGAGAUGUUAAACUUUGGGUUACUGCCGACGUAAGAAAACUAGGAAACAUCAUAUUGUAUGAGUAAUUGUCAUGCCGCUUAUUUGUGAGUGCGUCGUAAAACUCUAAACUCUACUUUCCCUUAUUUAAUUGAAGAGGCAAAUCUUUUAAUUCCAUUUAAAAAACGCUCUUAUAUUAUGGGAUGGAGGGAGUAGACUAGAAAUUAUU